GCUGAAGGCCAACAACAUGGCACACAACAGCUGAUCGACACAGUGUUUAAAAAAAGUCCUUUCACACCUUAUUUGAAUAAUCCUACAAACAACCUGAACCUCCAUCCAUCACCUGCAUCCCCGAAGGUCCCAAGGAGCUGGUCGGCCCCCUCGUGGCCCCACGUCCUCACAUUCAAUGGAGCCGCACAGAAUCUCACCUGCCCAGUAACUACGUAUGUAUGUUUUAAUCCUUUUUCACUUUUCACUCGUUCCAAGCUUCUCAAACGUGAUGAUUUGCUGAUUCUCCUUCCCCUUGUUUCCCUAAAUGUGAAGAUGUCCCCCGGCACCCUGAGGAUUCCCGAGGACCCAGUCCCAGUCUGUGUUGGUGCCCUUCACGUCAUCAACUUCCUCCCCUCACCUCCUCAUGGCCUGCGUCCCAGCAUGCAUUGCACCGGCCCAGGCUGCGGCGUUGCUCCGCCCCUCGGUCACAUGGGCCGCCGCUGCCGUCAGGAACAGGCUGUACAGCUGAGAGACACGUGUGUGUAGGUAAAGACACAAUAACACACACACUCAUAUCUUCAGCAUCUAAUGAAGAGGAGAACCUACCGCCCCCGACGACCCGCCCAUCUUCUCCUGCACCAGUCCUGCCAGGACCGAGAGGAGUCUCCCGGGGCAACCGGGGACCACGUGACCCUGGAGCCACUCCUGAAUGGCUGAAGGAAUUCAAGAAGUCGUUCAAUAUUCUAUAUAACCUGACCAAAAAAUCUCUUUUUUACAAUCCAUAUUCAGAGGUUCCCUACCUCUGGCUGCCUGUGCGUGAGUGUUGCCGCAAUCUCCGUCCCCGGCGGCGCGGUCCAGGGAGUUGAGUUCCUCUUGCUUCUCCAACAGGGUGGAACAAACCAUCUGGAGCACUUCACGCAUCACAGGACUCAGUGGGCCUGGACGAAAAGAAUGAAGACAGACAGACACAGUGACGACGAGCAAAUAAAACCAAAACUCCACAAUUUUAAAAGAAUCAACCAAGGAACCUUCUGCGUGUGUGUCGUCCUGCGGUCGUGUGCCCGCGCUCGGAGGAUCUGCGACGAAGCUGCGUCCGCUCACACACACGCUGCUGAGAUUGGGCCAGGCGGGGGCGCUGGUCUUAGCAUCUGUGUGGGAUAGAGGAAGGAUAUAGUACAGGUUCAAAAAAACAUACUGUCUGUAUAUUAUUAUGUAUAAUUAUUAUGUAUUUAUCCUUCUCCUCUGAGUGUGUUUGUUUCAGGUAAAGCAAGAAGAGAGAAUGAAUAACAAACUCACCAAACAGUCUCAGUGUUUCCUCGUUGGCGAGCAUCAGGGUCAGCGACACGCCCGCCAUCUCCAGUGACGUCAUGAAGGAGCCCGACAUCACCCGGGCAACCAGCACCCCGCGGUUCUCUGUAACCAACGGAGACCACGGCAUCGUCCUCUGAGGUUCUCCGUGGAUCCCUGAGAAGAAAAAAAAAAGGAUGGAAGACAUUUAGGAACGGUCACUUAAGCUCUCGCCCUCUUUUGUUCUCUCUCCCCUCCGUCCUUCUCAAUCAUAGUUUGGGUUUGAUAAGAGACUUCUGAGAGAUAUUUUUAUUACUCUUUCUCAGAAAGUCACAAAGAUCAGACCAAAACAAACUCCUUGUGAAGGUGUGAAAUACAUUUUUACAACGAUAGUUCUCGCGGCUAAUUGAAAAACUCUAUGAUUACAUAAUUUUCUUGAGGUUUAAUAUGAUUAAAUCUGCUGCAGUUUUUUUUGUAUCCACGACUGAAACAUCGGCCCGCAGCCCGACUCCGCUGGAGGUCAAAGGUGCUCGCAGGGCCACAAGAUCAUAUUUCCCUUCACCUCCAAUUGUAUCUGGAGGGAGACUGAGAUCUCAGGGACUAGAUAUACUCGACAUAAAAGAUGCGGGAAAACCAUAACUACGCAUUCGGUCAUUUGAGUAUCUGACAUCCCCCCUCCCCCCGGCUCAUCGUCGUCUCUUACCCAGGCCCAGCUCCAUGUCUCCGGGGGGCAGGUCAAACGAGGGCAGGCAGCCCGGGACGCUGCACGGAGACAGACUCACCCCGAGGGUACCUGGGAAAUACAACACCACCAACAAAAAGGAAAUUAUAAGGAGAAGUAGUAAUGAUGGAAUGAGUCGGUGAGGGGAGGGAUAACUCACCAGUCCCCUUUAAAACCUCGGUCACCUUGGCAACAAUCUGGUCCAAUGAGGAGCCUUCUUCUGCCAUCGCACCUGCCAGCUGACAGGAAGUGUGUGAAGGAAGGCAAUUUUUUUUAUUUAAUUAAGAAGAAACAAAUGACAAGACAAAUCAGAAGAAGAAAACAUCGAUGAUGGGAAUGAUGGGAAUGAUGGGAGUUUGAUCCACUACAAAUGUGGACAUCUUUCACAACUUUAUAUAUAUAUAUCAUGGUAUAUAUCACGGUAUAUAUCACGAACUGUCCUGCCGUCGUCUACCUUGUGCACAAAGACGGUGCCACACAGGCCCCUCCUCCCGGCCUUACCGGGCCGGUCAAAGGCGCAGUCCUCGGCAACGAUCACCACGUCGACGGCGACGCCACAGUUUCGGGCCUGCUCUGCGGCCAACCCGAAGUUGAGGCGGUCGCCGGUGUAGUUCUUCACGAUGAGGAGGACGCCGCAGGCUCCUGUGGAGAAAGGGAGGGGAGGUCGUUAUUAUGCAGUUAAUCUCCAUUUAAUUCCAUUAUUCUUCAAAUUAACAUGCACAGUUUGAAAGAGAGAAACUUUUACCUGCGUUAUGCAAAGACAAGAUGGCCGCCAGGAUGCUGGCAGGCGGUGGAGAUGCGAAGACUCCACCUGCUACUGCGGCCGACAGCAUUCCUGCCCCGACGUAACCUGGACACGCGAGGGGGGAAGGGGUGACAUAUAAAACCUUAAAACAAGAGAAUUAAAGAAACACCCUGGACCUACUGUACCCGCGUGUG